UGUGUAGGUGGUUUAGUUAGUCUCCCGUUAAAGAUCCGGGCUCAACCCGGAAAGUGCGGGGGAAACGGCUAAACUAGAGAGUGAGAGAGGUGAACGGAACUCAUAGUGUAGGAGUGAAAUCCGUUGAUAUUAUGGGGAACACCAAAGGCGAAGGCAGUUCACUGGCUCAUUUCUGACACUGAGACACGAAAGCGUGGGUAGCGAACAGGAUUAGAUACCCUGGUAGUC
rnacentral:rRNA from 1 species